rnacentral:rRNA from 1 species
GCUAAUAAUGCAAGUCGAGCGGACAGAAGGGAGCUUGCUCCCGGAUGUUAGCGGCGGACGGGUGAGUAACACGUGGGUAACCUGCCUGUAAGACUGGGAUAACUCCGGGAAACCGGAGCUAAUACCGGAUAGUUCCUUGAACCGCAUGGUUCAAGGAUGAAAGACGGUUUCGGCUGUCACUUACAGAUGGACCCGCGGCGCAUUAGCUAGUUGGUGAGGUAACGGCUCACCAAGGCGACGAUGCGUAGCCGACCUGAGAGGGUGAUCGGCCACACUGGGACUGAGACACGGCCCAGACUCCUACGGGAGGCAGCAGUAGGGAAUCUUCCGCAAUGGACGAAAGUCUGACGGAGCAACGCCGCGUGAGUGAUGAAGGUUUUCGGAUCGUAAAGCUCUGUUGUUAGGGAAGAACAAGUGCAAGAGUAACUGCUUGCACCUUGACGGUACCUAACCAGAAAGCCACGGCUAACUACGUGCCAGCAGCCGCGGUAAUACGUAGGUGGCAAGCGUUGUCCGGAAUUAUUGGGCGUAAAGGGCUCGCAGGCGGUUUCUUAAGUCUGAUGUGAAAGCCCCCGGCUCAACCGGGGAGGGUCAUUGGAAACUGGGAAACUUGAGUGCAGAAGAGGAGAGUGGAAUUCCACGUGUAGCGGUGAAAUGCGUAGAGAUGUGGAGGAACACCAGUGGCGAAGGCGACUCUCUGGUCUGUAACUGACGCUGAGGAGCGAAAGCGUGGGGAGCGAACAGGAUUAGAUACCCUGGUAGUCCACGCCGUAAACGAUGAGUGCUAAAUGUUAGGGAGUUUCCGCCCCUUAGUGCUGGAAUUAACGCAGUAAAGACUCCGACUGGAGGAGAACGAU